UUCCUCUAGACAACUCAUAGUCACAACAGGAGAAGAACUAUUAAAACAGGAGGCCUAGUUUUUAUUACAGUUGUUUUCCAAAUUCUUAGAAGAGUGUCUGUCAUAUAAUCUGGUGCCAUGGGAAACAAGUGCUAAGAAGAAGAUCUCCAUGCAAGAGGUUAAUUGGGGCAUAAAUACCAUUAAAUUGAUGAAAUAGUUG